UAGGAAAUUUGAGAGGAGCUGUCCUUAGUACGAGAGGACCGGGAUGGACCAACCUCUGGUGCACCAGUUGUCACGCCAGUGGCACAGCUGGGUAGCUAUGUUGGGACUGGAUAAACGCUGAAAGCAUCUAAGCGUGAAGCCAACCUCAAGAUGAGAUUUCCCAUAGCGUAAGCUAGUAAGACUCCUGGAAGAACACCAGGUUGAUAGGUCAGAGAUGUAAGCAUGGUAACAUGUUAAGUUGACUGAUACUAAUAAGUCGAGGGCUUGACCAAAUAA
rnacentral:rRNA from 2 species